GACGUAGGUGGCGAACGUUAUCCGGAAUUAUUGGGCGUAAAGGGUGCGUAGGUGGCGAAAUAAGUUAGUGGUGGGAAAUCGGGGCUCAACCCUGCGGAAGCCAUUAAUACUGUUUUGCUAGAGGACAGGAGGGGUUAACGGAACUCCCGGUGGAGCGGUGAAAUGCGUAGAUAUCGGGAGGAACACCGGUGGCGAAGGCGGGUCUCUGGGCAAUUCCUGACGCUGAGGCGCGAAAGCGUGGGGAGCAAACGGG
rnacentral:rRNA from 1 species